rnacentral:rRNA from 1 species
GACGAACGCUGGCGGCGCGCUUAACACAUGCAAGUCGAGCGAGAAUCGGAGCUUCGGCUCCGGGGACAGCGGCGAACGGGUGAGUAACACGUGGGUAAUCUGCCCUCGGUUCUGGGAUAGCCCGGGGAAACUCGGAUUAAUACCGGAUAGCCUCUCUGGCCUUCGGGCCGGCGAGAAAAGGUAGCUUCGGCCUCCGACUGAGGAUGAGCCCGCGGCGGAUUAGCUUGUUGGUGGGGUAACGGCUCACCAAGGCAACGAUCCGUAGCUGGUCUGAGAGGACGAUCAGCCACACUGGGACUGAGACACGGCCCAGACUCCUACGGGAGGCAGCAGUGGGGAAUCUUGCGCAAUGGGCGAAAGCCUGACGCAGCGACGCCGCGUGAGGGAAGAAGGCCUUCGGGUUGUAAACCUCUUUCAGGUGGGACGAAGCCACUCGGGUUAAUAGCCCAGAGGGUGACGGUACCUCCAGAAGAAGCCCCGGCUAACUACGUGCCAGCAGCCGCGGUAAUACGUAGGGGGCAAGCGUUGUCCGGAUUUAUUGGGCGUAAAGAGCGUGUAGGCGGCCAGGUAGGUCGGUUGUGAAAACUGGAGGCUCAACCUCCAGACGUCGACCGAAACCAUCUGGCUAGAGUCCGGAAGAGGAGAGUGGAAUUCCUGGUGUAGCGGUGAAAUGCGCAGAUAUCAGGAAGAACACCCGUGGCGAAGGCGGCUCUCUGGGACGGUACUGACGCUGAGACGCGAAAGCGUGGGGAGCGAACAGGAUUAGAUACCCUGGUAGUCCACGCCGUAAACGAUGGGUGCUAGGUGUGGGAGGUGUCGACUCCUCCCGUGCCGCAGCUAACGCAUUAAGCACCCCGCCUGGGGAGUACGGCCGCAAGGCUA